rnacentral:tRNA from 1 species
UCCUGGCUGGCUCAGUCAGAAGAGCAUGAGACUCUUGAUCUCAAGGUCAUGAGUUCAAGCCCCACACUGGGUG